rnacentral:lncRNA from 1 species
AGAAAUUAAGCUUGAAGAAUUCUUUUAUUUUUGGGAAUUUAUUUUUAGGAAGACAUUCAUCUUCAACUACACAGAUUCACCAUAUGGACAUACCUAUAGGUUUACAGAUAUAUUUAAACCAAAAUAAUAAAAAAUUGCUGGUUCUCUCUCUUGGCAUCUGCUAUUCAAUCAACAUCAUUUGUUAAGUCAUUCCUUUUCUUGCAGAUGUAAAUAUUCAAAAUUAUAUAUGCAAAACUAGGGAGGGGAAGAAUAACUACAUAAAACACAAUAUUGACUUAAUAACUUCAGUAAAUAUAUUUUAAAUAAAUUUAAAUGUAUUACAUUCUAUUUGAUAUGCAACUUAUGUAGGUAGUAUAUCAUUAAUACCCUUUGAGGCCUGUAAACAUACAUUUUUUAAAUAAAUCAUAAAAUUGUUCAAAAAUUUUAACCUGUUUUUGAGACCCUUAUUCUUGAAUUCCUUGGGUACUUCCUUAUUGUGCCUAAUGAUAAUCUGACCCUAUCUAUAUGGCCAUAUUCCAACUUACAUAAGGGUUGCAUUUUUCAGAACUUUGUGGAAGUUGAAUUUUAUUGAAGUUACCUUUUAUACUGCUUUUUAUCCAUAAAUUAUACAAAAUGUCUAUUCUUAGCACUAUUUAGAAAGAUAUACCAUGAUGAUGAAACCAAGUUUCCUAUCUUUCUUUAAAGGUUUGAAACAACAUGCACCUGUAUGCUCUUGCCUAUUUGCCUACAUCAAAAAAAAUAAACAGCCCAUCAAAGCCAGACUGAUAGUGGAGAAAAGAAGUGCCCCUUUUUACAGCAUAGAGACGACAUUUGCAAAAUGGAUCAUUGCUAAGAUGCGAGACUACCCCUAUACAUAUGAUUCAGCUGAAGACUUUCUCCAAGAUCUAAAAUGUUAACAAAAACAUAUUAUGACAGUGAUAGACUUUGUGACACUUCAUUCCUCAUACUAGCAGCCUGCAGUCUGCUACAUAAACUUAUGCUUCAGAACCUUGAAGAAGAUAUAGUUACACCAGAGGCCAUAAGGGAGCUAGUCCACACUGCCUGUUAAGAUUCAUUUUUCCAAUUUGGACAUCAGUAUUACAGACAAAAAGAGGUGUGCCAAUAAGUAGCCCCAUAGUAGGGUCUCUAGCAGAAUUGGUUAUAAGAGAUAAAGAAAGGAAGAUAAUGAAUAUGUUUAAAGACAAUUAUGUAUUAAUAUUAUAUAUGAGGUAUGUAGAUGACCUGAUGAUUAUAUGAAAAGAUUGCAUUAAGAUUGAAGAAUUUGAGAAGGCCUUUACAGAUAGAAAUCAUGGACUUAUAUUAAAGUUAGACCAAAGAAGUUCCUCAAAAGUCCAUUAUCUAGAUAUAGAAAUCAGUAAGAUGACUGCAAAUUAUGACACUAAGGUUUAUCAAAAGCCCAAUGUAAGAAAAAUGGUUCUCUAAGUGGUCUCGAGGCCCCUCUAAAUAUAAGAAGGCAGCAUUUAGGACAUCUUUAAGAGAGCUUUAUCUCAUAGUAGCACAGUUGAGUCCUUAAAAGAAGAGAUAACAAAAAUAUAUGGGACAGGACUUAGACAUGAGUAUACAAAAAUCUUACAUGAGGAGGAUAUAGAAGAAAUGGAAAAGAAAAUUAGACAAGUUUCUAACACAUAUGGAUAGAGACAAUAUAGAAAGACCAGAAAAACCAGAAAUGAGCCUGUCAAAUAUUGUAUAUCAAAGAGUAAUGCAAUCAGAAAGGACAUUAGGAAGCAGAGUAGAAAACUGGUGAUAGAGAAACAACAAUCUUUGACAUACUGAGGAAUGACAAAUCAGUACAGUAUAUACUCCACUGCCUAAAAGUUUGGUAUAUAUACUGUACUGAUAAUAGAUAUGGAAACAGAGAGAAUAAGGAAUAUAUAGAAGAGAGAAAAUAGCUGCUAGGAAAAAGACUCAGCAAACAUAAAAUGAACGUAAAGAAAGGUCACAUGAAUCCAACUCUUGCUAGAAUUGUUUGAGAAUAAUGUCAAUGAACAAUGGGACAAAGAAGAUGAUUAAGAAAGUCAGUGAAGGAGAAGAUAGAAUAUCAGCAGAAGCUCUUCAGAUAAUAAAGUGCAAAAGACCAUCAACAAUGUUUUAUAGACUGCCACAAAAGUGUGAGUAUACGCUAUAGCAAAAAUGUAGAUGAAGGGUUCAAACUUAAAAAUUCGUUAUAUGAAAGAUUAAAUUUGAUAUUAACGAUAUAUUUGUUGCAUAUGUUAAGUAUAUUUAAUAAGAAAUUUGAUUAAUCAUUUCUGACUUUAGGCUUAGAAAUUAUAAUGUAAUGAUCACAUCAAAGAAAGGCCACAUGAACACAGCUCUUGUUUAAAUUAUUGAUAUUUUAAAUGUACUUUAUUCUGUUGCUCUAUUUCUAAUGUUAUGAGUUGAUGACGGUUAAUAAAACAACCGAAAGUACUUUUAACUUAAUUAUUUUGAUCUGACUUUUAUUUCAACAUCAUUUUCUGACUGUUAUUAGUGCUAAGAGUAAACAUUUUGUUAGAUUUUACAUAAGUUUGGAAAAUAAUUUUUAACAGAAAUUCUGAAUUAAAAACUGGGCUAGGUUACUACAAUGAUUGCAUCUAUACAAUGUU